rnacentral:lncRNA from 1 species
CACAAUCCAAUAAACAAGUCAUCUAUGGAUAUCCCUGCCAAGCCUCACCCAACCCCGGGUGAGAAGUACGAAAAACUCUAGAGACCCUUAUCCUACAACCCUGAUACUAGACCUCCAGACUUUCCUAUCAAGGGUCAUGUCCUCAGAAAUUCGCAUUCUAGCCAUGUCUUGCCUAAUCACCUCUUCCCAAUACAUCUUAGGCCUCCCUCUGCCUCGUCGUACGCCGACCAACGCCAGCCGCUCACAACUCCUCACCGGGGCAUCAGGACUUCUCUUCCGCACAUGCCCGAACCACCUCAGCCUCGCUUCUCGCAUCUUCUCAUCCACCGGGGCCACCCCCACCUUCUCUCGAANN